rnacentral:tRNA from 1 species
GGACAGAUGGCCGAGCUGGUUAUGGCGCCAGGUUAAGGUUAUACCUUGAUACAUGUGAUCUACUCGAUCAUAUAGUUUCCUGGUCACGAAAGUGGCGUGGGUUCGAGUCCCACUCUGUUCA